rnacentral:rRNA from 1 species
UACGAAGGGGGCUAGCGUUGUUCGGAAUUACUGGGCGUAAAGCGCGCGCAGGCGGUCUUCCAAGUCAGUGGUGAAAGCCCGGAGCUCAACUCCGGAACUGCCAUUGAAACUGUUAGACUUGAGGAUGAGAGAGGUGAGUGGAAUUCCCAGUGUAGAGGUGAAAUUCGUAGAUAUUGGGAAGAACACCGGUGGCGAAGGCGGCUCACUGGUCCAUUACUGACGCUGAGGUGCGAAAGCGUGGGGAGCAAACAGGG